CCUGUCAUGGCGUAGUGGUAACGCGCCCCAACUAGAGAUCGGGGAGUCGUGAGUUCGAUUCUCACUGAGAAGA
rfam:Aedes aegypti strain Liverpool supercont1.256 genomic scaffold, whole genome shotgun sequence.